GAGACUUUCUGGGAGCAGGAACAGAUUGAGAAGGAGCUAAGACAGGAGGUGAACCAGCAGGACUGGAAGGGGUAGGAAAAGGCAGCUGUACAGAAGUGGGAGAAGAGGGAGGAGAGAGAGGAAUGGGAGAAUCAGAGGCAUCAUCAUUUUCUCCAGAUGGAAUAAAGGGAAAAGAAGAAGCAGGAGGAGUAGUAGAGGGAGACACAGUUUUAAAAGGAAAAACUGAUUCAUGAAAGAGAACAUCCUGGAGACCAAAUACUUUCUAGAUGCAAGAUCAU
rnacentral:lncRNA from 1 species